rnacentral:lncRNA from 1 species
UAUUGGAAGAAUAGUAUAUAAGACAUCUUUUAGGAUUGAAUUUCUCCUAAAAGGAAUUACUCAGAAAGGAAGGAAGACAUAAUGAGUUAACAUUAAUUCUCCUGCUGACCUUUAAGAGAACACAUAAAGUGCAGGGUAGCUACUUUUAGCCCAAACCAGCUGACCUGGCAAGGUUAAGGGCUGAAAUACAGCUUUUGCGCCCUUUUACAGAACACCUUCCAUGGUCAGUGCAGAUGAAAUCCCCAGUGUGUUGAUGGCCCCUUUAAACCCUUUCCACAACUAGGUGUCUUAUAAGUCAGCUUGCAGAAGAAUCCCACGUGACUUGAUGACAGAACCUCUUCACGGCAAGACAGGACCUGAGAAAUCCUUCAAACAGAUAAGGCUUGAUAGUGAGGAUGCUCACACCGUGAUAGACACCUUGCUUAUGCAUCUGCACCAGUCACCUCAGCUCUGGAUUUGUGCUUCCAGAGCUUUUCUGGAAAAGGAAAUGUGAUCUGCUUCAGUGCAUCUUUUCAUGACCGGGGUGUCUGUCUGAAUGUCCAUGGCCUGAGACAUGGGCACAAAUCUGAGAGUUAACUGUGCACUGCAGAGACAGCCCAAAGGGAAUUAGUUAUUUUGCUUAAGAAUAAAUUGACUGCUGCUUGGACAUGUGGUUCCUUCAAGACAAAAAGGCAAGUAACUGGGUUACAUUUAGAAAAAUUAUUUUAAUGAACAAGAAAAUGGCAUUUAAUCUUUUGGUGCAUCCUGCAUUUUAUGAGCAAAUUUCACGGGAAACUGUGUAAAUGGAACAUAAUUAUUUUUAAAAUAGAAUUCUUUGUUAUUAGCUGCAUAACUGUCAUGUGUACAUAAAGCACCCUGCUGUACAAACAAAAGACUGGAAAAGUUUCCUGGAGAGUUUACUGCUAUUGAAAGAAUAAAAAUUUAAGCAGUGGGAUGAACUUUUGGUUCACAGACUCAAAUACUGAAUGUUAAACCUGGCUGAGAGAAAAUCACUUUAUUCUGAUAACCGGAUUAGUUAGAACAAAAAUAGAGAAAAUUAAGAACUGAAGAGCAGAAAAUUAAGGUGGAAUGCAAUUUAAAGUGUGAGUAGAUGAUGUAGGCUUUCAUUUUCAUCCCCCCUAGUGUCCAGCUAAUUAAAAUUACAAUCAAAAUGAAAGUCUAAACUUGUAAAUAUCUUUAGCUAAUGAUUUUGUCUUUUUAAUCAUCUUCACAUUCAAAGACUUUAUUUUAUUCAUUUAGAGCUUUACAAUAAAAUGAAAUUGUUUUCCUCUAGUAAAAUCCUUUUAAUUUUCGUUAUCUGUUUCUUUUUAUAUCAUACAUUAUGUAUUUUCCUCUUUUCUUUCUAAUUUCUGCACAGUAUUCGCUACUCUUAUGGUCUGUGCUCCUCUUAGACAUUUACUUAAAACUGUUAUAAAGUUAAAUGGAAUAAAGUGCUAUAAUGUAAACUUCUUGCUUAGUCCAAAAUCCCUGGAGUUGCAUCUUGUGGCUCACAAACUGAUCUACGCAAAUAGCAACUUUCUUCAUAAGGUGCAUCUACAAUGAAAUUGUAAGCCACUGAUCACAUAAUACUUAUUGUUCUGUCUAAAUUUAAAAUUGUAUCUCCUUUGUUUCUAAGACAAAGAAUGGAUUUUCCCCAGUUUAUCAACUGUUAUUUGUGGAUAAUGGUUGGGUUUCUUUCUGUGACUUCUAAGGUCCUUUUUUGUUUUCAUGCUUAUUUCACUGUGAUAUUUUCAAAAUAAUAUAUUUAGUUUUGCCUCAAAAUUUGUUUUUAUUAUGCAAGUUUUCUAAAGUGUGUUGAAGAAACCUUGAAACUGCGGCUUGGUGAUACAAUUCUGUCUUAAUGACUUCCCUCAUUUUGGAAAAUAGGAAUUUCAUUUUAUUUUGCUAGACAACAUUGACUUAAAAUGGGCACUAGGGUCCUAACUUAGCCAUAACAGUGUACUUCAACACCAUACACAUACAUUUAUUUUGUAAACUGGCUCAUUUCAACCUCAUGCAACCUUGCAUGAUCCAGCUACACUGUAAAAUCUGAGGAUUCUGCACUGGAUUCUGGGUGUCAGCCUGGAUUCUGAACAAUGCUGGAGACACUUGUUUGCAUUUUGUGUAUUGUAGUUAGAAAAUCCUACAUAAAGGCAGUGCCAAUACACAGGUGAAACAUCAGAAGUUCAAAAUAUUCAGAUUUGGUAGCUGCUAAUGGAGAGAAAUGCAGUGUGAAUGCAUCUAAAGGUGUUAGACCUUUAGCUUUACAGAAAAGAAAGGCGUUUCUCAUCUGUAAUGACUCUUCUGGAUGCUUCAAGCAAUAUCUCUACAGGAGAUUCAUGGGUGGGUUUGCAAUUUUUAACCCACCUUUUUUUACUUACCUGAGAAGAUCUACACAUCAGGCAUCACCCUGGUAUCUGAACUAUCUUCACCUAAAACCUAUUAGGAGCACAACAGACCUAAAAACGAUCACAAACUGUCUGACAAGUUUUAGAUGUUAUAAGACUUCUAGCUGGAAGAAAAUAUUUUCAUUUGUUCAUCUUUGCUUUGCUUUUUUUAGCCAUUAAUGGCCAAGGUAAUGAUCAGUUGCAAGAAAAUGAUCAGUUUUAUACCAGUGCACAUAUACAGGUCUCUCCUGAAAUAGUCCCAUUUUACACUGGUAAAAGCAAGGCCAGAUUUUGGCCCAGCAUGUUUUGGAAUCUCUAACAACACACAGUCCCUGCUUCUGAAAGGCAACUUUCAUCUGGCUGCCUGGAAGAUCUCCAAGAGCUUGUGCUCUGCAAGGUUUGAAAGGGAUUAACUGCAUACUCUUGUGCCUUUAGAAUCAAUAUAACAUAUGGAUUGGCCUCAUCUUCCUGAGCUGCCACUGACUGCAAAGGGAGUAUUUGUACAAUUGGGGAAGAUGUAAUUGGGCUUAAAGGCUCUGUGUUUUUUAUGUGCAGAGUUAAUUUAUGUGAAUACAUUAAUGUUCAUACAUCAGUCAUUUUGCUGGGUCAUCUGCCAAAAAGAGUGCCAAGACUUUGCCUAUAUAUACAAAGAUGAAUGUGAGCUUUGAGAGCCCUCUAGUAGCAAGACAUUUUUAAAAUAGCCAAUGCUUACUUAAUCAUUUUAUACUGUUAAUAGAUCAAUCACUGCUCUUGGUUUGGAUAUGAUAUUAAAGUUCUUUAAAUAUAGAAGAAUAAUUGCAUUCAAAAUCAUCAGAACAGAGGUGUUUGCUGCUUAGACAUUUCUGUGAACAGCUGCACUGCUUUGUACUGAGGUGUUAUGAGGGAGGUGUCCACAGUCCCUGAGUCUGUGAGUUGUUAACGAUGAAAAAUAUUUCAAAAUUGCCAGAAAUAAAAGUAGAGUGUAAGACAACUCUAUGCAAAUACGAUCAUAGAAUGGUUUGGUUUAGAAGAGACCUUAAAUACCAUCUAGUUCCAAAACCUGUCAUGAGUAGGCACACCUUCCAGUAUCUUAGGUUGUUCCAACCUAGCCUUGAACAAUUCAAGGGGUGGGGCAGCCACAGGUUCUCUGGGCAACCUAUGUCUGGGCCUCAUUACCCUCACAGGGAAUAAUUUCUUCCUAACACCUAAUCUAAACCUCCUCUGUCUCACUUUGAAGACAUUCUCCCUUGUCCUGUCACUCCAAAGAUAAGCAAAGGAGGAAGUGUCUGUGGAAACUGUGCCAGUAAGAGACUGUGGCCUGGGAGGAUGGUGGUAGAAGGGCAAGCCUGGUGGUUCUCACCUGUGUGCUCUUGUCUGCUCUAACAUCUUGCUUCCAAAAAGGAUGGUUUGCCUUGUGGUUGUGCCCUCGCGAUGCUUUCUUCAUGUCAUCUCUAGUGCCUCUGUCACAGCUUCAGCAAACCAGGACAGCUUAAAAAGAAUUUUAAAAAACCCAUUGACUUUUGGUCAGUGACCAAACUGGCCCAUUGUGACAGGACAUUGACAAUCAAUGACAAGGGCAUUGAUUGGGAACCACAGCUGGCAUAAGGGAGAAGAGGCUGCAGGGCCAGGAAUGCCAGGAACAGGGGAAAGGGAGAGCACAACAGUCCUUGACAGCAGCAAGCAGCCUUUCAGCAGUCCAAUAAAACCCUUUCCAGGUAGCAACCAUGGUUUGCUGCUUUAGUCACAGAAAAUUUCAGCAAGUCACAAAAAUGGCCGUUGGCGAGUCUGAAGUGUGCUUUUAAACAGUGGAAAACUGAAGAGACGAAAACUCCUUCACUAGCUGAGGACAAGGCUGGAGUUUUGAGGUUUUCAUUUUUCGUCUAAGACUUCAGUUAAGUUUCAGUGGUUUCCUAUAUGGACAACUUGUUAGCUUUUAGACACAAGGAAGCAAAUUUACCUUUAUUAAAAAAAACACCCUACAACUAUACAAUACUCAAAGUACUAUUUUGGUGUAUUUAAUUACGAGUUCUAACAUAUUGUUUUACCUUUAAGAAUUAAUAAAGGCUGGAAUUUUUAAACUAGGGUCUAUAGUACACUGUGAAGAGGCCUGGGAAGUUGUUCUCUGUUUUUUAGGUCUGCUUAAAAGAUAAAGCCACGCUAGAAAAAGAUUGUUUGUAGGAAAAUAUAUUAAAUCCUGUUUAUAACACCAGAUUGUGGGACUGCUAGGUAGAUGAGGAAUCACCUCAGGAGAGAGGUGUUGCUCUCUGAAAUAAAGCUGCUUAGUAUCAAAAAAUAAUCUAAACUAGAAAAGUUUGAGAACACUUGAUCGAUGGCUUUUUGCUCUUAGUAACAUUGACCUUCAGUGGCUUGAAAUACUAUUGUAAUUUUUAAAUUUACUAUUCUAAAAUCCAGAUUUCAUAAACAUAUUAUUAUCUUUCCAUUAUGAUUACUUAUUGCCUCCAAGGUCUACAAUGCUUUCCUGUAACAUCUAAAUGGAAAUGGGAUCAGGAUGAGAUUCUGUCACUCAGGGGAUUUGUGGGAAAAGGUGGGGAUGUGCACAGAAAAGGUCAUUUCUUAGGGGUGAGAUUAAUAAAAUGACACUGAGUUAUGAAAAAGGACAGCAAUAACAGUAUUAGCCAUUUUGCAUGGGUUUAAAUGGAUUGGUUUUUGUUGGAGACACUAAUGCUGGAGAACAAUGCACUGUCAUUUUCUUGUCUUUCAUAACAUCCUUAAAUAAAUAAAAAAAAAUCAGCUCUUAAAAAAGCCACAUUAUUUCAAUGUGGUUCUAUGUGCAUUCUGACUGAUGAAUGCACUUUCUUUCUGACUGUUUGUGGGAUGACUUAACUAACAUAAUUUAGUCCAGAAAUUUGUGCUUGCAAGUGUUUGCUCUGUACACUGCUUAUUUUGCCACUGGAGCCAUGAUUUUAUUGAUGGCUUAACUGGCUGAAUAUGAUAUGUGAAUGGACAAGUAAUUAAUAACAUACUCCAUUAUGAUUCUUCUGGCAAACAAUAAUGGUAAUUAAAUUGGUAUAUGUGGCCUGUGGCUGAAAGAUCACAUCAGUGCUCCUUUCUCUUGAGGAGCAGAACUCUCCAACUUCUCACUGAUCUUGUUUUUCAAUUUUUCUACUUUAAAUAUGCUGGUCUGUGUGCCAGCUCAAAGUAACAUGAUGCUUCAAGUAAUUGCAUUUUUUUUACAAAGUUUCUAAGUGUGCAGUAUAUACAGUGUAAGAUAAUGAUUAAUGUUUUCUGGACUCCAGUAGUAGAAUAUUUGAUGCUACUGACCUUACAGUAUUUUUAUUUAGAUACAUUACUCCAUAAAUGCAUUUGGCUUGACAUUUUUUUAAUGCCAGAGACUCAGAUAAGCAUGGCCAAAAAAGAAGAAAAAAACCCCUCUGCCUUCAAUUUUGCACUUGAUGCAAUUAAGAAAUGAUCAGCGGGCCUGGUAAAGUACAGAGCUACUUCACAAUUAAAUAAGGUAAUUUCUAGUGCAAUGCAUACUGAGAGAAAACAGCUCAAGAGGAGAAAUGUUUUGGUCAAAAUUAAAUUAAUAGAUAACACGAGGGAUGCAAAUUGCUAUGAAACACUGGAUUAACUGCUCAUGGGGAGCUAUGCUGGGUACUGAAAUGCACAGGAGCGGCUUCAGAGGAGCAAACUACAGAAGGGCUGAACGCCAUAGUAUUUAAAAUCUGAUCGUGCAUAUGUUUAGAAAAUGUUUCUUGCCUUGGUAACAAUCUUGCAUUGUCCAAGAUUUUCCAGAGCAGAAAAGGGAGAGUAAAGCAACAUUCUUGCACAGAUCUUUCUUUCUCAGAUACACUUGAUAGUUUGCUGGAAGUCACCAGUGACACUUCCAAGGUACAAAAAAACGUUAAACAGUGGCAAGAAUAUAUAUUUAGUAGCACAUAUUCCUGAAAAUCUUACCUGAAAUGAUGAGUUUACAUAUCAAAUCUUGGGACUCUUUCACCUAUCUAUUGCUUUUUAGUGCAUUCUAUAUUAUAUUUCCAAUAGCCUCUACAACAACCUAAAACUGCAAAGGGUUUCACUGCUUUUGAUUCUUCUAUUUCCAUGCAAUCCCUGUGAAUGAGUCUCCCAGGCUAAGGGAACAGGAUUUAGCUGCAGGUGUAAACAUUUGUGUGGUUUCCUUAAUUUCUCUUUUAAUCCACCUCCUGUCCCACACAGCUACAGUUGCUUGUGCCACACACCUCUUAGGUGACCGUGGUAAGUCAUCUAUCUCUUCAUAAAACUAUAUUUUCUUGCUCAAAUGUAUCUAGACAAAAAGCAGUGUUUCUUUCUUAAACAUGCCUAUUUGGGUGUAAAAUGAGUCUUGCAUGAUGCUCAGCAUCAACGAUGUGCAAAGUUUCAAUGCCUUCCAAAACACACACAAAAUACCCUAAAGUUUCAAGUGCCUCUCCUCAGGCUUUCCCACAUACUGUGGCUGCCAGGUCCUGGCAGCAACCUACCCAGAAAAGAGAGGAAGGUUUUUAUCCCAGCGCCUGUAUGAAAGGGCAGAAGAGCUAUUAUGACCCUAAAAGUGUUAUGGUAGGAGAUAUUGACCCCUAGACAAGAAUGAAGAAAUCGAGUAACCCCUUGCCCUGGGUGGCACGAAAAUCUCCAUGGCACAGUCAGCUAACUACUAUGAGCCUUACUUAAUAGUUUUCCUUACUUAACAGCUAGUCCUUAGUUAAUCCAGCCCCCUCAGGAUGUGCUAAAUAGCGAGGAAACCCCGGGUCUGCUCUAGGGAAGCCGUGCUCCUUCAGCACUCUGGAAAAGACGCUCCUCAAAGUAGCAGGACCCCCUGCUUGCUGUGGGAGAAAACAGGGCUGCUCCUCAGGAGCUCUGGAAGCCGCGGGCUCUCCCUCAGGGUUUCCCGCCUUCGGGGUGCGCGUCCCUCAGCGCGGCGCGCUUCCUCCCUCAGGUGUUCGCCUCUCCACAGGUGCGUUCUCCUCAAUGGCACCUCAGCCCUCGAGUGCGUUCCUCCCUUCAGGUGAGCUUCCCUCUCCUCAGGUGUACUCCCUUUGGAGACACAACCCUCACCUCAGGUGCGCUCCUCUCCCCGGGCGCGCUCCCCUAAGUGACACGCCCCUCGCCCCUCAGAUACGUCCCCCCCUCCUCAACUAUGCUCCCCUCAGCGACACAACCCUCCUCUCAGGUGUACUCCCCAUUCAGGUGUACUCCCCAUUCAGGUGUGCUCCUCUCCUCAGGUGCUCUCCCCACUCAGGUGCUCUCCCCUCAGUGACACGCUUGCCCCCUCAGGUGCACUCCUCUCCUCGGGUGCCCUCCCCUUAGAGCCACGCG